rnacentral:rRNA from 1 species
AACGAACGCUGGCGGCAUGCCUAACACAUGCAAGUCGAACGAAGCCUUCGGGCUUAGUGGCGCACGGGUGCGUAACGCGUGGGAAUCUGCCCCUUGCUUCGGAAUAACAGUUAGAAAUGACUGCUAAUACCGGAUGAUGUCUUCGGACCAAAGAUUUAUCGGCAAGGGAUGAGCCCGCGUAGGAUUAGGUAGUUGGUGGGGUAAAGGCCUACCAAGCCGACGAUCCUUAGCUGGUCUGAGAGGAUGAUCAGCCACACUGGGACUGAGACACGGCCCAGACUCCUACGGGAGGCAGCAGUGGGGAAUAUUGGACAAUGGGCGAAAGCCUGAUCCAGCAAUGCCGCGUGAGUGAUGAAGGCCUUAGGGUUGUAAAGCUCUUUUACCCGGGAUGAUAAUGACAGUACCGGGAGAAUAAGCACCGGCUAACUCUGUGCCAGCAGCCGCCGCCGUAA